UCAUCUGAAUGCAAACCUGAUUACUGUUUAUGGUUUCUGCAAAAAGAAAAAUAAUAUUGUUUGUAAUUUAAACAAAAUUGUACAUGGUUGGUGGUGCCCUCACCUUAACUUAGCUGUUGUUGAUGCUGCUUUUUUUUUCAUUUGUUUUAAUGCUUGUGUCAUCUAACUGCAAACUUUUACUUAACAAAAUCCAAUAAGGAAUUCUUAAGCCCUCUAACGGUGGCAUAGUUUUUACAUUCUUGACAAGACUGGUUCUGUCAAUAAAACUAACUUCAAUGUCACCGCUGAGACAAGUAACUGCAUUGAGGUCAAAACGGAUAACUUUUAUCAAACUUUUGGACCUGCAACAAAAUGAACUGGAACAACUGGACACUCACACGGGCCACGAUGUAACAGUUCAUCGGGAAAAAUAUCAAGUUCCAAUGAAAACACUCCUUCUUACCAAAAGGAGAGAAAAAAACUUCUCAAUUCAAGGGAAGAGACUCGCCUCAUCAAUGGACGAGUUUCUUCCUCCUUAAGAAAAGAUGGAGUGAGUGAAAAGACAAAAAUCAAAAUCAUGAAAACAACCUUUGGCAAAGACAUUAGUUGUUUUUGAGGAACGCGAAUCAAUCGUGCGAAGAGCAAUAAGAAAACUUUGGCACUUCCGCUCCUACUUUGACAAAAAUGUGGUGUUAAAGAUAAAGGUGAACUUCAAAACAACUACACACAACAACUUUUCUUUGGCGCUUCAAACCCUUUCCAGGGGGGUGGUCCAACGGCAAUGCAGAAUCUAUGAACCAUGUCUUAAAGAAUAAAACAAACUGGAUGACAUUGCGAAUUUCCACAAUGAUACCAAAGCUACAGGAAAAGAAGAUGACCAAGAGACUGAGUAGUAGAUUAAAUCAGAUCACCCAACGUCUUGCCUGUGCAAACCCAGCAGAGAACCCUGACACUUAUCCCCACCGAAACCCUAUUAUGUUUGCUUGCAAGAAACACCAUCACAGCUUCAAUGGAAAAGUUUCUUCAGUAACCCUCUUGACAGAAACGCAAAUUGAAUGUCUGAAAAGCUAUUGUUUCAACACACGGUGGCAAAAGAGAGCAGUGCGCUGGGCACAGACAAGACAUUCAACUUGGGACCUUUACACGUAACUUAAUGGCCUUUAAGAACAUUUCCCUCGUAGAGGAAGACUACGGACCAGCAUGGGUGGAACAGGGAUCAAACUAAACUCAAAACCAAGUCAUUUAAGGGCCCAAGACCGGGAGCAACAUUCCAAAGACCAGAACAAGAUUACCACUUGGACUAUUUUCUUCUUUUUUUUCCUAUAUUUCUUUUUCCUAAAAUAGUUAAGUACACUAACAAAACAGUAAACCCAAAGUUCAGGGCAAAAAACACAAUGCAAGAGAUCAAGGCCUGGUUUGGCAUUAGAAUACUGCAGGGGGUCCACCCAACACCAACAACUGGUCAAUGCACCCAAGCCUCAGAAACAACCUCAGUCUUCCACCAUGACACAAGGGAGAUUUUAUCUCCUCUCUCCUGCCAAAGGAUCAAAGAAGAUGAGGGGCAAGAAAGAUUGCUACAAUAAAUCAAGGAUGAAGUCUCAUCCUCUGGACCCUUUCUGGUCAUUCGGGAUUCAGGAAACCAACAUAAUAAUAAACACCUAGUAAUUUUGCAGCAGAAUUUAUAUCAUUUUGGGAGGUUUUAAUCAUGAGAAGGUUAUUGGCAAGAAUGUUGAUUUGAGAUGUUGGGAAAUUUGAUAUAUUCUUAAGUGAUUGUUUAUUGAUUCUGUAUUGAUUGAUCAAAAGUGAUAAAGUGAACUACAGUAAGACCAAACUUGUUACUAUUAAUUCAUUGAGUAAACAACAAAGAUGAACUUUGUAUUACCUUCUACAGUGUUUUUUUAAUUAUAUGAUUUCACUUGUUAUUGUUACUAUUAUUAUUAUAUAUUUAUAGAUUGACUGGAUAGCUUGAGACACUUGGGAAGCCAAAACAACUGGUAUCCACAUCCAACACCAGUUUAAUCACAAAGGGAAAUCUGUGGGCAAUAGAAGCGUGAGAGUUGUUUUUGACACGGUCACACGUGAGAGGCCAAUUCAAAAGAGUUCAACGACGUCAAUAAAAAAACAUGAAAGGAACUUAUGGAAGAGACCCAAAAGACUUCCUCCUACAUCCGGGACCUUGGCUAAAAUUUAAUCGAAAUGUGGGAAUGCGAGUGGGCAGACAUUCAGAAAACCGAUCCAGACUUGAAACAAUUCUUGAAUUACCACGGAACAGGUUUUAAGGGGGGUCAAGAAUGGUUCCAUAUUCGGUCUGGUAGAGUGUGACCUUCGGGUGCCACCCAAAAGAAGAGAUUACUUUGCCGAGAUGCCACCCGUUUUCAAAAACGUGAACACUUUCAAGGCCAAUAUUGGAAACCACAUGCAGCAAUACGCCGAAGAAAUGAACAUACUAAACAAACCUAGAAGAAGUCUGAUCAGUAGUAUGUUUGGGAAUAAACUACUCCUCGCAACCCCACUUUUGGCUUGGUACUUGGAGCACGGAUUGGAAGUCACAAGGGUGUAUGAAGUGAUCGAAUAAAAAGCCAAUCCGUGCUUCGAAGAGUUUGGUAGUCGAGUCAGCCAGGCAAGGCGGGAUGGGGACAGUGACCCCGAUAAGGCUAUUAUUGCCGAUACAAUGAAGUUACUUGGCAAUUCAGCCUACGGCAAGACAGUAACCGACCAAUUAAAACAUGGUGUCAUGUAUGAAGCAGACAUGUUUAAAAGCGCGAUCAAUUUAACCCUAUCCCUUCAGAUAGAUUUCUUUGUCUAUCAAUAUGCUAAAUUGCAGAUGCUCGAGUUUUCCCUUGACUUCCUUAUGAAGUUUGUUGCUCCACGCUAUUUUCAGAUGUGUGAGAUGGACACAGAUUCUGCCUACAUGGCCAUAUCAGGUGAUAGUCUCAAUGACGUAAUCAAGCCCGAACACACCUGAACAGUACAGUUAUGAGAAGAGGACCCGUGGGCUGUUCAAAGGAGUGGGAGGGUGAUGGUAUAAUAGCCCUGUGUAGCAUGACGUACUUUUGUUUCAGAGCAACCGAAAAGUUCAGUUGUAAAGGUCUAAACAGACGAAACAAAUGAACUCACUAAAGAAAGAAAAAACAUGACCGUCUUGAAUACCAGAUCUUCAUACCAGAUCUUCGGGUGGGGGUUUAAAGACAAGAGGACCCGGGGCUGUUUAAAGUAGAGUGGGAGGGGGAUGGUAUAAUAGCCCUGUGUAGCAAGACGUACUUUUGUUUCGGAGCAACCAAGAAGUUCAGUUGUAAAGGUCUAAACAGACGAAAUAAUGAACUUACCAAAGAAAAAUACACUACCGUCUUGAAUACCAGAUCUUCAGCUGGGGGUGUAAAGACACAGGGGGAUAAUGUGACAGGUAUAAAGUAAUACCCCCCACAAAACUAUUUUCUUAUGCAUUCAAUUUCCUUUUUAAUGAAUAUUCAUAUCCUCGGGCGCCACCAACGGCGACCCCUCCGUCAUUAUUCUCUGCGUCGGAGACGAACGAACAUUGAAUAUUCUCUUCGUCUUCUUUUACAGGUAAAACAACAUUCCAUUCUUUUAUUUUUACUUUGCUAUCACAUUUUAGAAUUAUAUUAAAUAGUACUCAACCAGUCUGUCUCUUUUCGUACCUAAUCUUUACUUGACCGAGUUUGGUAAAAAUGUAUUAUUUCCGAUGUUUUACUAGUACCGUAUACAUCGUUGUGCUAUUUGAUUUUUGUAGAAGUGAAACGAAGGUUUAUGCUUUGUAAAUACUUGUUGCCUUUGAGUACCAUUUCAUUGUUUAAAUAUCUAAAUCAAUAUUGAGGUUCAAGGAAACCCUUGAUUAGUUAUUCCUAAGGUUUGUUUUUUUCUAUACAAUUAAUUCGUUAGAAGGGUUCGGUCGCAAGAUGGCGACCGACCAGGAGUUUUGGCGGGAAAUACGGUCUUUGUUUCAGAGUUAAUGGGUUAUUAUUUCCUUUGGAGCACAUUGUUUAUAAGUGUUGAUGUUCCUUUCCAGUACAAUUUAUACGUGAACACAAGGGAUAAGUCAUUCAAUUGUUCAUGGUAUUUUCCUUUAAUAGAUUGGUUCAUUCCGUAAUAGUGUUGUUAUUUAAUUUGUAAAUAUUAUUGUGCUUUAAUUUAUUUUAUUAUAUUAUCAAUUGUGAUUAUUCUCUGCGUCGGAGACGAACGAACAUUGAAUAUUCUCUUCGUCUUCUUUUACAGAAUAAACGUUAUAACGGCAGCCAAAGUG